rnacentral:rRNA from 1 species
UACGUAGGGUGCAAGCGUUAAUCGGAAUUACUGGGCGUAAAGCGUGCGCAGGCGGUGAUGUAAGGCAGAUGUGAAAUCCCCGGGCUCAACCUGGGAACUGCAUUUGUGACUGCAUGGCUAGAGUACGGUAGAGGGGGAUGGAAUUCCGCGUGUAGCAGUGAAAUGCGUAGAUAUGCGGAGGAACACCGAUGGCGAAGGCAAUCCCCUGGACCUGUACUGACGCUCAUGCACGAAAGCGUGGGGAGCAAACAGG